GAGGCUAAAGAAUUAAGUCCAAAGGGAUAACAAACGGGGAAAACCAAAUUCAUAACUAAAAAUCUCAGAGGCGGAGGCUGUCCCCUCCGUUUACAGUGCCAUCGCCGCCGCACCGCCACCUCCAUUCUCCACCAACUGCAUCCAGCUGCCGCUGUUUCUCUCACCUCAACCUUCUCUCUGUCUACAUCCCGGUCUUCGUGGUGCCUUUUGCUGUCAACCUGAAGCUUUGUUCCUUUACCUCUUGUGGGCAUUCGCAAAAUAAAGUUUCGUCUCGUAUUUUAGCUUCUGUGUUUCUUGGUUUGCUGCGAGAAUUGCGAGUUUGAGCAUUACGGGAUUAUAGGCUAUGUUUCUUUUAUUCUGUACGCGGAGAAUUUGCUAGUAGAUAUUUGAAAACUGUUGGUGUUUUAUUGAUGAGGAAUUUGGUUUGCUUACGUAGAUAUUAGAGUAUGCGGACUGCUAAGGUCGAUAAACAGUGUAGAUAGAGUAAUUUAAUUAUUUCCCUUUCCACAGAAGUUCAUGCCUUGCAACACCGCUGCGUUCCACAAUCCGCGGCGACAGCUUCAUAACUGUCCGGUACUUGACGAGUGGUAUGAAAUAGCGCAGCUCUUUAUUUUCUAUCUUCUAACCAAGCUAAUGGGAUGCCAUUUUGCCUCUUCACAGAUGCGCAACCGACCCCAAACAGUAUUCCGUGGUAUUUUAUCAACUUUUCCUGGAGUUCCCGGAAGGUGUUCUGCGUUUUCCUUGACUAAUAACCAUCUCUUCUAUUCGUUUGGUUCCCGGUCUUCCUUUUCUACUGCCGCUCUAAGGACUACAGAAAAGCCCAGUCGGGAGUUUAGUUAUAGAAGAAACCGAGAAAAGAUACUACCUUGGCAAGCGUCAAAAGAAUCACAGAGUUGUUACUUACAGGUUUCAGUUAAUCAAGGAGUGGAAAGAAGUAGAAGGCUGAGAGGAGGUUCAGAAAGUGUGAGUGACAUUAAUAGGCUUAAAUCGUAUUCAGAAGUGCUGAGAAAUUGCGCAGCUGAAAUGUAUUUGAAUAAAGGUAAAGUGAUACAUUGCCGUAUCAUUAAAAGUGGAAUAGAGCCUGAUAUGCACUUAUGGGUUUCUUUGAUUAAUUUUUAUGCAAAGUGUGGGGCUUUGGAAUCUUCGUACCACGUAUUUGACCAAAUGCCGUUGAAAGAUGUGGUGUCAUGGACUGCUCUGAUAUCAGGUUUUGUAGCUCAAGGGUAUGGGGUUGAAAGUGUUGAGUUGUUCUAUGAGAUGAGGAGGGAGGAUGUGAGAGCUAAUGAGUUUACUUUUGCCACUGUUCUGAAGGGAUCUUCAAUGUCGUUGGAUUUGGAGUUUGGAAAACAAUUGCAUGGGGAGGUGGUUAAGAUUGGUUGUCUUUCAGAUGUUUAUGUUGGUGCUGCUUUAAUAGAUCUUUACUCCAAAUGUGGGGAGAUGGAAUACGCGGUUGAUGUUUUUCGUAUGAUGCCUGAGAAAAAUGCUGUAAUGUGGAAUACUUUGCUUAAUGGUUAUGCACAGGAGGGAGACGGAGAGGCAGUCUUGCAAUUGUUUUCCAAAAUGACAGAGCCAGAGAUGAGGUUUAGUAAUUACACAUUAUCUAUUGUUUUAAAAGGAAUUGCUAGCUCUGGUGCUUUUAGAGCUGGCCAGGCAGUCCAUUCAAUAGCGAUCAAGAUUGGGGGUGAACCUGAUGAUUUUGUCACGUGCAGCCUGGUUAAUAUGUAUUCUAAAUGUGGAGUAGCUAAUGAUGCCCUUAAAGUGUUUGAGAUGAUUAAAAGUCCUGAUAUAGUUGCAUGGAGUUCGAUUAUCAGUGUACUUGAUCAGCAGGGUCUAAAGGAAGAAGCAGCCAAAUUCUUCCGCUUAAUGAGGUGUACUGAUAUGACGCCCAAUCAGUUUACCCUCUCCAGUCUUGUUAGUGCUGCCACUGAUUUGGGUGACCUGCGUUAUGGUCAAAGCAUUCAUGCCUGUGCUCACAAAUUUGGCUUUGAAUCUGAUGAUUUGGUAAGUAAUGCACUGAUUGGAAUGUAUAUGAAAUUUCAAUCUAUUUAUGAUGGGUACCAUAUCUUCAGUAAAAUGACUAAUCGAGAUGUGGUUUCAUGGAAUGCCCUUCUAUCUGGAUUCCAUGAUGAAACUUCUGAUCAAGGAAUCAGGACUUUUAGGCAGAUGCUUACAGAAGGUUUUAGGCCAAAUAUGUACACAUUCAUUAGCACGCUGAGGUCUUGCUCAAGCUUCUUGAAUAUUGAAUAUGGGAAACAAGUACAUACUCACAUAAUUAAAGAUAACUCUAUCAAUAAUGGCUAUGUCGGAACUGCUUUACUUGACAUGUAUGCUAAGUGUGGGUGCAUGGAAGAUGUGGAAGCAAUUUUUAGCAGAUUAAUGGAGAGAGAUGUCUUCGCUUGGACAGUUAUCAUUUCAGGUUAUUCACAGACUAAUCAAGGAGAAAAGGCUGCUCAUUAUUUCAAUCAGAUGCGGAGAGAAGGUGUUAUUCCUAACGAGUUUACGCUAGCUAGCUGUUUGAGGGGUUGCUCUGGGAUUGCAAGCCUUGAGAAUGGGCGACAGUUGCAUUCCCUGGCAAUUAAGAGUGGGCAGUCAGCUGAUAUGUUUGUAGCCAGUUCACUUGUUGAUAUGUAUGGCAAAUGUGGAUGCAUUGAUGAUGCAGAAACAUUGUUUUAUGACAUGCAUUCAGGUGAUACCGUCCUUUGGAAUACAAUUAUAUGUGCAUAUUCUCAACAUGGGGAGGCUGAUAAGGCUCUUCAAGCAUUUAGGAAAAUGGUGAACACAGGAGUGUUGCCUGAUGUAGUUACUUUCGUAGGCAUUCUUUCUGCAUGCAGCCACAUGGGAUUAGUUGAAGAAGGAAGAAAGCAUUUUUACUCGAUGAGUGAAUCUUAUGGAAUUACUCCGAUUAUUGAGCACUAUGCUUGCUUGGUUGAUAUACUAGGUAGAGCAGGCAAAUUCGAUGAGGUUGAAAGCCUAAUCGAGCAUAUGGAGCUAACACCAAAUGCUCUGAUCUGGGAGAAUGUUCUUGGGGCAUGUAGAGUCCACGGAAAUUUGGAAUUGGGUGAAAUAGCUGCUCAGGAACUUUUUCAAAUCAAUCCCGAAACAGAUUCGAACUACAUUUUGUUAUCAAAUCUGUAUGCUAGCAGAGGGAGGUGGAAUGAUGUUUCUAAAGUUAGGGCAUUAAUGACCAGUAAGGGCAUAAAAAAGGAACCUGGGUGCAGCUGGGUUGAGGUUGACGCCCAAGUUCAUGUUUUCUUAUCUCAGGAUGCAUCACAUCCAAGACUGUCGGAUAUCCAUCAGAAGUUGGAGGACUUGGAAAAGAGAGUUUCUGAAGCAGGGUAUGUGCCUAACACAAAGUAUGUGCUUCAUAAUGUAACAGACAAGGAAAAAAGAGAUAACCUUUUCCAUCAUAGUGAAAGGUUAGCUUUAGGUUUUGCUCUAAUAAGCAAAUUAAGUAGUGGUAAAAUUAGAAUCUUCAAGAACCUUCGUAUCUGUGGGGACUGUCAUGAAUUUAUGAAGUUCGUCUCUGGCACCAUGAAUCAAGAAAUUGUAGUUCGUGAUAUCAACCGCUUCCACCACUUUCGCCAUGGCUUGUGUUCAUGUAAAGAUUAUUGGUGAUUUUUGUACACUCUCUCAGACUGUUGACGUCAAUUGCUGAAGUGAAGUCAAAGAGAAGUUAUGGGCAUACGCAACAGAAUUUGGAUUUUAAUGAAUAGCAGAUCCUUCUCUUGGAAGUGUGAUGAAUUCAGUGAAAAAGGGUGAUUUGAAGACAUGGGUUUCUGAUAAAUUAAUGACCCUAAUUUGGGCUAAUCCCAGCCCAACUUUGUCCAAUAUGUGAUAACAUUCUAAAGGAAGUGGCAGUACUUGCACGGAAACAAAAGACCUACAAGUUUUUGGAGGCAGAUGAUGAGGGUGAUUAUAUGGUUCCUGUUGCUCCAUUGCUUAAAAAGGAGGAAACUCGAAACAAGAAGUUCAGGAAAAAAAAAGUUGAAACUGAGGAUAACAUGGAUGAUGAGGUACUCAUGCUUGUACUCUCAUCUGCAGAAUCUUUUUUGGUUUUUUAUGGUAAGAUUCUGCAUCAGAUCUUCUUGUAUUUAUGAGAUGCUUUAGUUUUACUAAAUAUGAUGGUGUAGGUAGUAAAAAAUCGAGGGCAAGAAAAACGAGUAAAAAGCCGGACUUCCAAUGAAAAAUAUGAUGGUUCUGAGUUACUAUUAUAUAUGUAUGAAAACUUUGGUUUGUUCUUUUCAUAUGUUCCCUAUUUACGUCAUUGGUCGAUGUGUUUAGGCAUUGAGUUUGCCUUGCUUUUGAUGUAUAAUUGUUCCAUCUGCAAAAUUAAAGACACUCAUGCAAGCACGCAUGGAAUCUUUAUGAAAGAAUCACAUGGAAAAUUCUUUCUGAGUACUUGAUCAUGCAAGUAAUAAGAUAUAUAGAUCAAAGGACUAAUAUUAGGGCCCUGGCCUUGUCAACUUAGUUGCUCAACAGCCAACUUACUGAAAAAUGCUUUAGCCAUGUUCACAAGUCGGAGCUGCCCAGGGGCAGUCACACUAUUCGCCUGCAUCUGAGACUGGAUGCCUUUUAUAUUGGCCGUCAUGUUGCAGUUGAUGUAGGUAUGGUUCUUUUAUCAUCAUAUUCAUGCUUAUGCUUCAUUGUAUUUCUAUUCUCAGUGGAAGAGUCCAUCCCUCUUUCUUUUUCCAUAUACUUCUUUGCUGUGUACUUCUUUUUGUUUCACCUUUCUUCAUUUAUUUUUGUAGUCUUUCAUUCAUGGUUCUUUAAUACUACAUGCAACCUUUCUGGUUACGGUCAGAAGAAGAAAGACUGCGUGACCAGAGAGAAAGGGAGGAGUUGGAGUGUCAUGUCAGAGAACGUGAUGCAGCAGGAACCAGGAAGUUGCAGAUCAUAAGUUAACAGUGAAGGAAGAAGAUGCUGAUGCAUGUCAUAUUGACAAUUUAGCUAGUGAAUCUCCUGCACAUGUGUUUUCUCCUUGUCAUCUUUUCCGAUGUCUUAUUUGGGAAACUGAUGGGACCUGUAGUUAAUCUCAGAAAAAGUAAUGUGACGUCUGUAAUUAUGUAAGUGUAUAAUGGAAGUUCUGUUGAUGUUUUGUUUUCUUCUGUUAAUGGCAUACUUACCAGAGCGCAUGGGUGGACUCAAUUUAUCUUGGUGCAUCAUCUUGCAGAAGAGACUAUUUGGAGAUCCAACGCUUUGGAGAAUGAUGGCGUUGAUACGUUGAGGUUUGUCAUAUCAUUGAAAAUAACAAUACUAUAUCCCAUUCUAGGUUCUUGCUUCUGACCUACAACUACAGCUGAGUAAGCAUACUGGGUGUCAACAUUUUUUAAGCUCAUGAACAUAAACAAACGAGCUAUAACCUGUUUGGCACGUUGAAGUUAUAUUCAAGAAUUUCCCGAAGGAAGAGACAUAGCUACUUUUGGUGGAGUUCCGUUGCAAAUCAAUGUCAUAUAUGGUUAAUGGUAGACCUGUGAAUCAAAAGAUAUAUUAGAAACAAUUACUCGGUUUUUUAUGUAUUAUUUUGUUGUAACAUAAUUAAAUCUUCUCAUCAACUAAUUGAUUAGUUUCUGUGGUAAC